UGCGCGCGGGCUUAGACAUUCUUUUGUGAAACGCUGGGCUUAACGUAGCGGCUGCGGGAAGACACGGCUUAACUUGAGUACCGGGAGGGGUCAAAAGUAUUCCAGGGGGACCGGUAAAAUGGUAUAAUCCUUGGAGGACCACCUGUGGCGAAGGCGUUUGACCGAGAACGGAUCUGACGGUGAGGGACGAAAGCCAGGGGAGCAAACCGGAUUAGAUACCCGA
rnacentral:rRNA from 1 species